ACUGCAGAAGACAGUGGGGCCAGUAGACCACUAGCAAGGAGAUCCCAGUCCUGCCUUAAACGGUCUCCAGCCAGGAUUUAAUGAGGCAUGAAUUUGCAUGGCAUAGUAGAUUUUUUCUAACAGGAUCGGGGAUUGGUGUUACAUAUUAGGAACUGACCCUGAACAUGAUGUUCAAAGUCAUUAAACGCUCUUGGAAGCAGAAGCAAUGACUUUAUCUUCGGGGCUGAACAUCCUCAGUUGGAAUCCCUUGAAACUCUGGGCCAGUGAUGUUGGCUUAAUGCCAGAAAGACCAGGCACUAACAUAUUUUGAAUAUGAUGUCACAAAGUACAGGAAAUGAUUAUCACCGGGCAGAUAAAAGGAAAAUAUCUUAAAAGAGAAUAUAAACUUCUUAACCUACUCUAGAGGCAUCACGGUGAAAAUUUCUGUGCACCAGAGAAAGAAAACUCGGUAAUGUGUGUAAGGAGUGCUUUGCAUAUGUGUGAGGUUAGAGAAAAAGCCACACCUGGAUUGCAAAUGUAUUGGCUCCAUCUAUGAGUGUUCUUCUACCAAUCCUGAAACAAGAAAAUUAUUAUUUUUGUGUUUCCAGCGUGAUAGUGUCAGUUAACAUGUAUUCAGAUGUUGCUAUAUGCCAAUGCCACAUGCAUCAGCCCAUUUAAUCCUCUCUGUUACCUUAUGAAGCAGAGGAAGCUCAAAGAGCUUAAGCAAAGAGUUGGUUAAAUCCCUCUCCUAGAACCCAAAGGUGGUGUGGGCUAAACUAAGAUUAAAUCAUACAGCCUGAACCCAGA